rnacentral:rRNA from 1 species
CCUAUGGGGGGCAGCAGUGGGGAAUUUUCCGCAAUGGGCGAAAGCCUGACGGAGCAAGACCGCGUGGGGGAGGAAGGUUCUUGGAUUGUCAACCCCUUUUCUCAGGGAAGAAGAAAGUGACGGUACCUGAGGAAUCAGCAUCGGCUAACUCCGUGCCAGCAGCCGCGGUAAUACGGAGGAUGCAAGCGUUAUCCGGAAUGAUUGGGCGUAAAGAGUCCGUAGGUGGCUGAUCAAGUCUGCUGUUAAAGAGCGAGGCUUAACUUCGUCAAAGCAGUGGAAACUGAAGAGCUAGAGUGUAGUAGGGGCAGAGGGAAUUCCUGGUGUAGCGGUGAAAUGCGUAGAGAUCAGGAAGAACACCGGUGGCGAAAGCGCUCUGCUGGGCUACAACUGACACUGAGGGACGAAAGCUAGGGGAGCGAAUGGGAUUAGAAACCCCAGUAGUCC